rnacentral:tRNA from 2 species
GUGGCCAUGGCGGAAUUGGCAGACGCGUACGCUUGAGGGGCGUAUAAGGAAACUUGUGUGGGUUCGAGUCCCAUUGGCCGCA